AAGGUGGGACAGAUGAUUGGGGUGAAGUCGUAACAAGGUAGCCGUAUCGGAAGGUGCGGCUGGAUCACCUCCUUU
rfam:Bacillus sp. SA1-12 scf7180000003440, whole genome shotgun sequence.